UUCCUGUGGGGCUGGCUUGACACCUGAAACCACCGCUGUGCUCUGAGAUGCUCUAGGUAUCUCACAGGGCACACAGAAUAUUAGCGGAAACUGUUCCCAGAACUCUUCUGCCCCUACAUCUAUCUUAGCUGAUGCAGACGGGUGGGUUUGCUAAAGAUUACUUCAUCUUUUCAUUAUCAGAAUAUCAGCUACUAAAUGGUACUCAUUUGCUGAACUUUAGCCCCAUUUGAUUGGUGCGGUUUAAAUUUUUUCCUGUCAUUUGGAUCCUUUAAAUAAGGUAUCCAUGUUUUAAACUCCAAAACUUAAGUAAGAUAGUAGGAAGAUCAUAGGGUACAGGGACUUUGGACUGCUGUCCUGAGUCCCCUUCUGACAGAGCCACAGUCACACUGGGCAUAGCCAUCCUGCUCACCACCUUCCAAGUCUUGAGAAGACACCAGUAUGAACAGUCCUCCUCAACCCCCAGUCAUUAGUAAGAGGAUAGAGAAGUCUUAUUCUUAGGCGAUCUUUUUAAAAGAGAUGAGAAAUGCUCGGUCGAGCAGUAGCGCUUACUUGAAUGUUUUCAUCCAGCUCUAGGAUGUGCAGAUUUUUGGUAACAGAUGGCAUCUACCUAGAGUUUUGUGAAGGGUGAAAUCGGGGUGCUUGUAGCCAAGAUGUGUACGUCUAGAUUAUGAACAGUUCCUGGGCCAGCAGAACAAAUGGGAACAAAUGUGGUCACGCUGAUGAAUGGGGAUUUUAGAUGGCCCUCUGAGGCUGUGCUUGGUACGUACCUGACCCUAGAGGCACAGAACUGAGCUCCAAGCUUUUAGAGAGAAAACAAAUAUAAAAGCUACAAGAAAAAUAACACCUACUAGACUUUUGUGAGUUAGAAGAUGCCGAAGUGAAGAUGGUGAAUCUCUCUCAUACUUACAGAAAGUCUAACAAUUUCUUCUUCUAAAGCUAUUUUUAAAAAAUGUGUUUUGGACUUUAUGUGGUAAGAAAAGCCGGUUUGUCAGCUAGCAGGAGUUUAAGGAUGGGGUAAGGAGGCGUUUCUCCGAAGAAGUGACAUGUGGGGAUUGGUUUCCAGCAUCUGGAAGCUUCCAUGGGAACACAAGCAUCAGCCUGUCUGCUCGUCUGCUUCUCCCUCCUCUGUCCACAUUGCUAGCUGUAUUUGUAGACAGUGUGGUUGGACUUAAGGAAGUGUUAUUUCACAGCUCUGUUGAUGGCCCUUUGUGGGGGCCAUGCGGGUGUGUUCUCUGUUAACUCCUCUCACCAUGGGUCCCGCAUCUGCCCAGAGCGCUGGAGGUACUUGCUCCCACGUGUGCAGUGUUUUCCUUUGUAGUGUGUAUAUAUUCUCAGAUGAGUAUAUUUUCGAAUUGAGCACAUUUUUAGAAUGGUCAGUAAUGUCUUCAUUUCUGAAGUAGUAUGUACUCUUGGAUGUAUUUCAUAAUAUGUAAAUUAUUACAUAGACAGCAUUUUCAGUCAGUGAAUGCUUGCCACUCAUUGGUUUAGUUUAGAAACUCAUCUGAGCUUCUGUGUCCACAUUAACUUGCUGUUUGCGACCACAGUUCAGUUUCCUCAGAUAUCCCGUUUUAUCUUUCUGUGAGUUCUGUCAGGGAUGUUGAGAUUGCUUCCACAGCCCACCAUCUCCUUGGUACCCAUGUGACAGUUCCAUUGGAAAUAUGCUGCUCAUAGAGCUUGCACACACUAAAUCCACGUGAGCACCCCGUGGGCCCUCUAGAGACAGCCUUGUCUGGGUGCUCCUGUAUCGGUCCAGCCCGCUAGGUGAAAUGGGCUCAGUUCUCUUAUGGAUCACCUUGGUUGCUGAUGAAGUCCAACAUCUCUUCACCUGCUAGUUAUCUAUUUUUGGGUGUCCUCUUCUGGACAUAUUUUGCUCAUGGCUUUUUCUCACUUUUCUGGUAGGUUUUAUAGGUCUCGUGUUGACUUUAGAGCUGGCUGCAUGUUCUGAGAAUUUGUCCUGGAAAGCUUACCCAUUGAGCGCACUUUCAAAAUCAUCUUUUCUUUCCUUUUUUUCCCCUCUCUCACUCUGAUGGGGCUUAUAGGUUUUAAUUCAUUUUCGCCUCUUCCUCAGGUCUCUGAGGUUCUUUCCAGCAUUUUCUUUCUUUGGAUUUUGCAUCACUGGAGAUGGCAUCCCCCAGCCUUGUGCAUGCCAAGACACUGCCCCUCAUCCUCUCAUGCUCAGAAUUCUCGUCGCUGAACUUUGUAGUUUUCCCUCUUAAUGGUUCAGUUCUCUGCCACUUAAGAGUCACGGCACUGCCUGCCUGGCCUCAGUUGUCCAGAACAGGCCAGCAUGCUCACAGGGCCCAGCAAGUGUGCCGGUUUAUUUCUUGCACCCGUCUCCUCACGAACCAGUCCAAUCCCAAUUCACUUUUAUAUUUCUUGUAUACUGAAUUGUUAUUUCCCCAAAAAACUGCCUCGAACAGAAAACAACACCAUUGUGACUUAAUUCUAAAAAUAUUUUUAAAGUAUAUUCCUUUCAGGGGUGGAGAGGAGGAACUUCUGCUGGAAUUCUACAGGCAGCCUCUGGCCGUUGUCUCAGAAGCCCAACAAAACAGACCUGCUCAAAGGACUAAAUGAAGAAUUCUGAAUUACAAAGCUUUCACACUUUCUUCCAAACUAUGCGUAUGUCAAAUUAGUCU
rnacentral:lncRNA from 1 species